ACGUUAGCGGCGGACGGGUGAGUAACACGUGGGUAACCUACCUAUAAGACUGGGAUAACUCCGGGAAACCGGGGCUAAUACCGGAUAAUACAUGAAACCGCAUGGUUUCAUGAUGAAAGACGGUUUUGCUGUCACUUAUAGAUGGACCCGCGGCGUAUUAGCUAGUUGGUAAGGUAACGGCUUACCAAGGCAACGAUACGUAGCCGACCUGAGAGGGUGAUGGCCACACUGGAACUGAGACACGGUCCAG
rnacentral:rRNA from 1 species